rnacentral:siRNA from 1 species
GCAAUAAAGAUGGUCUAAUAGUA